GAUGAACGCUAGCUACAGGCUUAACACAUGCAAGUCGAGGGGUAACGAGAGGAAAGCUUGCUUUCCUUGUCGACGACCGGCGCACGGGUGAGUAACGCGUAUCCAACCUGCCCCCAACUAGGGAAUAACCUUGCGAAAGUAAGACUAAUACCCUAUAAUUUCCUCAGAUGUCAUCUGACGAGGAAUAAAGAUUUAUCGGUUGUGGAUGGGGAUGCGUCUGAUUAGCUUGUUGGCGGGGUAACGGCCCACCAAGGCAACGAUCAGUAGGGGUUCGUGUAGGAAGGUCCCCCACAGUGGGACAGAGACACGGGCCAAACUCCUACGGCAGCCAGCAUUGAGGAAUACUGGUCAAUGGGCGGAAGCCUGAACCAGCCAAGUAGCGUGCAGGAUGACGGCCCUAUUGGUUGUAAACUGCUUUUAUACAGGAAUAAAGUUAGCCACGUGUGGUUAUUUGUAGGUACUGUAUGAAUAAGGACCGGCUAAUUCCGUGCCAGCCGCCGCGGUAA
rnacentral:rRNA from 1 species